UAUGAUUCUUUGGAUUAUGCAAAGAAGAAUGAGCCUAAACACAGACUCGCAAGACAUGGCCAUUAUGAGAAGAAAAAGACCUCCCGAGAACAGCGAAAGGAACGAAAGAACAGAAUGAAGAAGGUCAGGGGCACGGCGAAGGCCAAUGUUGGUGCUGGCAAAAAGCCAAAGGAGUAGGUCUGCAGUGAUUUGAUGUUUUGCUGUGACAUGCAGAUUUCUGAGAGGACAAAUAAACUAAAAAGCUUCUUUUUAAAAAAAACUCCUGAACCAGUAGUCUUCUGUAUGCCAGUAAGAAACACACUGAGAAGGAAAUCAGAACAAUAAAUUCUAUUCAAGAUAGACUCAAAACAAGGCACCCAGGAAUAAAUUUAACCCGAGGGAUGGAAAGCCUCUCUAAUGAAAACAAUAAAAUACUGAAGAAAGCAGCUGAAGAAGACGCCAUGGAUCAUCAGAAUAAUAUGGUUAGAAUGGUUGCAUUGUCAUGAGUGAAAAAAACAGCAUGUUUAAUAAAUGCUGCCUUGGAGACACCAAGAUUCUCAAGAUGCCAGAGCCAUAGGUUAUCUCUUGAGGUAUGCUGCUAAAAGGGAAUGGAACCAGCCCAAGAAAAGAAGUUUGUUGCAGUCAACAAAGAGGAAAAAGGUGUUGGAGAUCUGAAAACUGUUUUGACAUCAGACAUGGAGAUGCAGAAUUUGGAGUUUGCCCAGCUGGUUUCCUGUCCUGCUUUGGGGAUUAUAGUUAAGUGAUUGAAUGGAUCUCAGAAGAGACUUUGAACUUUGGACUUUUAACAUUGUUGGGACUGCUAUAGACUAUGGGGACUUUAGAAGCUGGGCUAAAUGUACAUUUUAUUAUGCUAUGACUAGAUAUGGCCCCUAUAGACUUAUAUUUGAACAAGCUUAUAGGGGACAGGGAGUGGAAUGUGAUGGUUUGUAUAUACUUGGCCCAGGGAGUGGCUCAAUAGGAGGUGUGGCCCUGUUGGAGUAGGUGUGUCACUGUGAAUAGGGUCUUUAAGACCCUCACCCUAGCUGCCUGGAAGCAGGUCUUCCACUAGCAACCUUCAGAUGAAGAUGUAAAACUCUCAGCUCCUCCUGUACCUUGCCUGUGUGGAUGCUUCCAUGUUCCUACUUUGAUGAUACUGCACCUAAUCUCUGAACCUGUAAACCAGC
rnacentral:lncRNA from 1 species